CCUCACUGAGAUGGAAGUGUUCAUUACUGUUGUUUAAAUAAAUUAUUCGUCUCUACUACUGUAAGCUGUCCCGGUUUGGGGGUCAAUGUGCUAUAACUUAAAUAAAUAGAAUUAAAGUCCUACAAUCCAAAGUCCUUUGCGUUAUUUUAAAUGCUCCGUAAUUUAUUCGAAAUGAAGCGCUGCACACUGACUUCAAAUUACCAGCAAUAAAGAAUUGCAUCAGGGACAGGUCGUACCUAUUGGAGGCCUGAAUUCAAUACCUACAAAUGAUUAAAAUUUUCUGCAAGUGUAUAAAUAUAUUGUAAACAUUCAGCAUUAAUAAAAUGCUAAAACUUUUAUGGUAUUAGUACCAAUGAUAUUUUUAUUGAGUUAAUUUUGUUUUUCAUUAUUAUAUAUUGUUGCAUGAAGUAAAGAGAAGUUGCUCUUGAUUUUACUAAUAACUGUUAUUAUAAAUAUAUUUUCCAGAACGUUUUAAAGAGGAAAAAUAUAAGUUUCUUCGUGAAGG